rnacentral:rRNA from 1 species
AUGCAGUCGAGGGGCAGCACUGGGUAGCAAUACCCUGGUGGCGACCGGCGCACGGGUGAGUAACACGUGUGCAACCAACCCCGUACCGGGAGAUAACCCGCGGAAACGUGGACUAACAUCCCAUGACACUCGAGAGCCGCAUGGCUCUAGAUUUAAAAUUCCGGUGGUACGGGACGGGCACGCGCGACAUUAGGUAGUUGGCGGGGUAACGGCCCACCAAGCCGACGAUGUCUAGGGGUUCUGAGAGGAAGGUCCCCCACACUGGAACUGAGACACGGUCCAGACUCCUACGGGAGGCAGCAGUGAGGAAUAUUGGUCAAUGGGCGAGAGCCUGAACCAGCCAAGUCGCGUGAGGGAAGAAUGGUCUAUGGCCUGUAAACCUCUUUUGUCAGGGAAGGAUAAGGAUGACGAGUCAUUCGAUGCCAGUACUUGACGAAUAAGCAUCGGCUAACUCCGUGCCAGCAGCCGCGGUAAUACGGGGGAUGCGAGCGUUAUCCGGAUUUAUUGGGUUUAAAGGGCGCGUAGGCGGGACGUCAAGUCAGCGGUAAAAGACUGCAGCUAAACUGUAGCACGCCGUUGAAACUGGCGCCCUGAGACGAGACGAGGAGGCGGAACAAGUGAAGUAGCGGUGAAA